ACUUCUUUAGUAUACAAGUACAGGUAAUUUCCACUUACCAAGUCUUAGACCCGCUAAGAAGAAGUA
rnacentral:tRNA from 1 species